CCUGGAAUGGGAAGAGGCUUUGGACUGUGACCAGAAACAUUCUGCUAUCAACCCUGUGUGCAUAGCUCUUUCCAGAUAAGCAAAUAUUUGGGGCUGCAUGGGAUGGGCAUGGUCCCACCUUGCUACCCAAAAUCCCAACUCAAGACCCAGACGAACAUUGUGUGGAAAAGCACACUGUCACCUGCCCCCGCCUUGUCUUCAUUCCUGCCACUGUGUGACUCAUUUCAUCCGCCUAGAUGACAGGGCUCCCAAAACGCAAGCCCAGCAGCCAGAAUUCAUAGUUCAUUCCUUUACUUAUGCAAGAUAUUUAUCCCCUGACAAAAUAACUCAAAUGGAAAGGCUUUGGGCAAAUGCAAAACCGAGAAAUAAUCUCCUCUCGGAGUUGGAAGCCUCCUGGGAGCGUAGAAAAGCUUAUCAAAGUUACAGAACUCCAUUUGGAAAGCUCAAACUGCCAGCCUGCAGGCAAGAUGCAGUGGGGCAUAAUGAAUGCAGGCACAGACACGGGUCACUGACGCACCAGACAGGUGCGUGCCUGGUUUUCAAUAAGGCCUUUCAUUAUGCAUUCGUCUUAGCACUUUGAAUUUGUCCUCCCAGGAAGCCGUGUACUAUCAUGAGGAUUUGGAAGGACAACCUGAAAGCCCAUCAAUAGGAAACAGCAAGAAAUUAUGGCAUAUCUAGUCUCUGGAAUCCUAGACAUUUGUUUUGAAGAGCAAGCCUGGUCACAGAACCCUGAUAGGGAAAAGUGGCUAUAGUUUUUUGUUGUUGUUGUUUUUGUUUUCACCAGGAAAGCACAUAGAGCAAGGUUCACAGUAUUCCAUUUUUUAAAAACUUCCUUCCAUUUUUUUCUUUUUCUUUCUUUUCUUUUUGUUUGCCUGCUUGCUUUUCCAGACAGGGUUUCUCUGCAUAACAGUCCUGGUUGUCCUGAUUGUCCUGGAACUCACUCUGUAGACCAGGUUGGCCUCAAACUCACAGAGAUCCGCCUGCCUCUGCCUCCUGAGUGCUGGGAUUGAAGGCGUGAGCCACAACAACCUGCCCAGCUUCCAUUUUCAAAUAGGUGUUUUGGAUGUAGUCUUUAUCCUGAAGGGCACACCAGCACCCUGACUGUACCCUUCCAGCAGCCCCUGGGCUUCACUGAGCUCCCUAAGCUGGUUGCGGUUUGAGUUGGAGCCCUGGGCCUACAAGUGCACUGGUACUAUCAGCAUCAAUAUGUCCCUUCCAUUGCCAGAUUUGGAUGGAAUGCCACACUGUGGAGCAUCGUGACUGCCCAGGGCUGGAAAUAUGAGCUAUCUUGCCCCACCACCCCCAAGUGGUGGCCAAGAGGCUUGGCCAAUGGGAAAUCAGAAGCAGGAGAAACCUAAGAAAAAGCCCCUGUGUCUGUCCUUAAAGAUACCUAUUCUGAAGUAGGAUUUUUUUCCUUGCAACUUCUCCAGAAGAAUCCAGCAUAAGAAGUAGACACACCUGCUGAUCACCCGCCGAGUCUUUGCCAGCACAGUCACACAUACCAUAACUUCAUAUCUUUCUUGCAUCACUUCCAUUUUUUAAUUCUCCCUUACCAGCCUACCCUUGCUUGCUUUUUCCCAAAUAAAAUGCAACACAAUAAUCCUUGCCUCUUGCUC
rnacentral:lncRNA from 1 species